rnacentral:rRNA from 1 species
GACGAACGCUGGCGGCGUGCUUAACACAUGCAAGUCGAACGGUGAAGCGCCUUCCUUUUUGGUGGGUGUGGAUGAGUGGCGAACGGGUGAGUAACACGUGAGUAACCUGCCCCCUUCUUCUGGAUAACCGCAUGAAAGUGUGGCUAAUACGGGAUAUUCUGGGUCUGUCGCAUGAUGGGUCUGGGAAAGAUAUUGUUUCGGUGGGGGAUGGGCUCGCGGCCUAUCAGCUUGUUGGUGGGGUGAUGGCCUACCAAGGCGGUGACGGGUAGCCGGCCUGAGAGGGUGGCCGGUCACACUGGGGCGGAGACACGGCCCAGACUCCUACGGGAGGCAGCGGGGGGGAAUAUUGCACAAUGGGCGCAAGCCUGAUGCAGCGACGCCGGGUGAGGGAUGGAGGCCUUCGGGUUGUGAACCUCUUUCGCCAGUGAAGCAGGCCUGCCUCGUUUGUGGGUGGGUUGACGGUAGCUGGAAAAGAAGCGCCGGCUAACUACGUG